GAAGUGGAUCUGUGGAUCAAAGCCUCUUUUCUUUAGGGCAGGGGUCUUUGAUUCAUCAUUUUCCCCUUUGUACUCCCACCUCUGCCAGUUUUACAAUUGGAGUUUUCUCUGAAUCUCCACAGUGAGCUGACAUAGAAGACAGAGCACCUCUCCUGCACAUCUAUCUAUUCAACCACUAUAUUGGAUGCAGCUAUGGGGUAGGGGGACAAGGUGGCCUGGGGGCCUGGCCAAGCAUCUAUCAGACAGUGAGAGUGGCUUCCUCCCUCUGCUCCUGCAUGUGAACUUGAGCAAGCCAGGCAACCUUCCAGGGCUUCUAGAGUUCUAAUGUGUGAGGCAAGGUGGCCUCUAACUGCCCCUUCCAACCUCGCACACAGGGAGCAGCCCCAGGACAGGUGGCACUGAGAGGAGGCCCAAUGAGCAGAGGCCCAACUCUUCUUCCCCUGAGAUGCUCAUCAGGUCAGAAGGCUCUCCUGUCCCCCCAGCAGAGUCCAGCUACAAGUACUUCUGGCUGUUCACCGUGGCAUCUGUUAGGUUCCUGCAGUUGGGGCUCGGGUGCAGGGAGGAGAGAGGGGACUGGAGGGGAUACAGUGUCAGAGCGAGUAGGGCAGGGGUGGCAGCUCUGAGUCAACACACUUGGUAGAUAUGGGCAAAGCAGCUAUGAAUACAGCCUUUUCCCUUCUCUCCAGCUGGCUGCUGUGCUGACAACUGCAGGCAGACGGACAGGGGGCAGAUCUGUUCAGGAAGCAGGAGACAGGGGCACGGGGCGGGCGGAGGGGUCAGAGAACAGUGCUGUCAGCCCAUAUCUGGGAGGCCCGUGUCCUGUGAAAGACGAGGAGGCCCUGGCUUGAGAUUUGGUCUUCACCCCCUCUGCGAAUGCCUAGGAGCCCCUGAGAACCGGAAGAAGGGAUCUUGGAGAUCUCAAGGACAACCGCUUCAUUCCACAAGGAGGAAGGCAGAACAGGGAGGGAGAAGGCCAGGCUCAAGGUCUCAGGGCUCCUGGACUGCAGAGCUGAGAGCUAAUUACUCACCGAGGGUUUCAGACAUUGCUGAUCAUCUCCCGGAAGUGUCUCCCCUAGUUGUAACCAAUGCAUGAAUAAGGUAGGGUGGCUCUGGGUGUGACUUCUGAUGGCAGGAGCCCCCAGCCCUUGACAUCAAGCCUGUUGGAUAGUAACUCUAUGUGGUCUGGGCUCUGCCCCUAGUUCCCGUGUGACCUUGGCCAUGUCUUCUGCCUUCUCUGGGCCUGGUUUCCUCAUGUGGAGUAAUGAUGCCUGCCCUUAUGUGCUUCACAGGGUCAGAGGCUAAAAUGGGACCAUUAUCUCAUUUCAGACAUCUGCAACUCGAUUACAGACUAACUCUUCACCCCACUUGCUGGGAGAGAUUCUGAAACGUCCCUGUGAAAUUUAGAAGUUCUGGGCUUCAUUAACCUGCAUCAUUUUUCUGGGAAUGCAGGCAGGACGGGAAGACCACAGGCAGGGGCUAGCUGAGUGACGCAGCCACGAGUCUGGGAGUCCCCACCCCUGCCUGAGUAGCGCUGCUGUUUGAUGGAUCCCAGAGGCAAAAAGAGUCUACGUUUAUGGAGAGGAAAUAGAGUUACACCAGGGCUUCUACCUCAUUACCCUGCAAGCUCCUUCGGGACACGGACUUCAUUAGGCACUGCCCGGGGCAGCUUGUAGAGGCCCUGCAGAGACUGUUACAGAGAGAGAGAGAGGCAGAGACACAGGCAGAGAGAGAAGCAGGCUCCAUGCA